rnacentral:rRNA from 1 species
AUUGAACGCUGGCGGCAUGCUUUACACAUGCAAGUCGAACGGUAACAGGCCGCAAGAUGCUGACGAGUGGCGAACGGGUGAGUAAUGCAUCGGAACGUGCCCAGUCGUGGGGGAUAACGCAGCGAAAGCUGCGCUAAUACCGCAUACGAUCUGUGGAUGAAAGCGGGGGACCGUAAGGCCUCGCGCGCUUGGAGCGGCCGAUGUCAGAUUAGGUAGUUGGUGGGGUAAAGGCUCACCAAGCCAACGAUCUGUAGCUGGUCUGAGAGGACGACCAGCCACACUGGGACUGAGACACGGCCCAGACUCCUACGGGAGGCAGCAGUGGGGAAUUUUGGACAAUGGGCGCAAGCCUGAUCCAGCAAUGCCGCGUGCAGGAAGAAGGCCUUCGGGUUGUAAACUGCUUUUGUACGGAACGAAAAGGCUCUGGUUAAUACCUGGGGCUCAUGACGGUACCGUAAGAAUAAGCACCGGCUAACUACGUGCCAGCAGCCGCGGUAACAC